rnacentral:rRNA from 1 species
UACAGAGGGUGCAAGCGUUGUUCGGAAUUAUUGGCGUAAAGCGCGUGUAGGCGGCUUUGCAAGUCGGGUGUGAAAUCCCUCAGCUCAACUGAGGAAGUGCGCCCGAAACUGCUUAGCUUGAGUGCCGGAGAGGAUGGCGGAAUUCCCCAAGUAGAGGUGAAAUUCGUAGAUAUGGGGAGGAACACCGAUGGCGAAGGCGAGCCCCUGGUCAAGAUUGACGCUCAUGCACGAAAGCGUGG